rnacentral:rRNA from 1 species
UACGGGGGGGAGCAAGCGUUGUUCGGAUUUACUGGGCGUAAAGGGCGCGUAGGCGGCGUGACAAGUCACUUGUGAAAUCUCCGGGCUUAACUCGGAACGGUCAAGUGAUACUGUCGUGCUAGAGUACAGAAGGGGCAACUGGAAUUCUCGGUGUAGUGGUGAAAUGCGUAGAUAUCAGUCGGAACACCGGUGGCGAAGGCGGCUUCUUGGGCCGUUCCUGACGCUGAGGCGCGAAAGCUGGGGGAGCGAACGGG